CUUAAAUUUCUUAAUUUAAUUGAUCCUAAAGUUUUACAUCAAGAUGUCUACAAAGCACUGUUUCAAAAGCUUUGCUUUGCUUUUGAAACAUUAUUUAAGGCUGUUUUAAGUAGUGUAGUACACCAUCUCCACCAGAGAGAGGCAGCAGUGCACGAACAGGCGUUCAAGUGUGUUGAUGAAGAAGAAAUCUUGACUUUGUCGUUGUGAGUUGUACUUGUCUUGUGGGGCCAACCUAAUACAAGUUAUAACAGCCAAACUUCCUGUUUAAAAAGAUGCUGAAGUUUGUCACCUAAUAUAUAUGAGACCAAUUUUAUCCUAAGGACACAUGAUGGGGGGACAAAUGUGGCUAAUGAAGACAUGCUACGCUGUGGAGGGUGAUAAUGAGGACCAGGCACCAGAGGAAGAAGUCUCUGUUUGACCAAAGAGAAAGAAGCAGAUGAAAUAUUCCCCAAUAAAAUUAUUUAAGUCAUUUUUGUGUUACUAUUUUCUCCAGGUGAAGGAGGAUGAAAGGGAAAGGUAAGUGGGGAAUAAGGAGCAGUACGGUAAUCAACAUUCACCAGCUGAGUUAUUAAGUUACGUUUAGACAACUAUUGUUGUCAAAUGUAAAACUGGUGUUUAAUCUAAUUAUUUAUUAAUAAACCUCUUGAAAACAUCGACAAGCCAGAGUAUCUGGUUGGAAAUAAUUUUGAAUGCUCAUUAAGUGAAAAGAUACACUCAUGUGCCUAAAACUAUACAUUAAAUGAUGCAUUUUGAACAACAGUGGCAGUCUGUAUGAACUUCUGCCAAACUUGAACAGAAUAAUUUUGUUCAGCUCUAGUCAUUAUGCUUCUUGUAUUAAAAAAAUCAUUAUAUUACACUUUAUAACAACCAGUCAUGUCAACUUGACAUUUGUCUGCCAGUCUACUAUUCUUACAGUGUGCAGCAAGGGAGAUUCUUGGAAUGGUACUUAAAUAAAUAAUGAAUUAAGAUAACAUUGUUUUUUUAUUUGUUUUUUUUUUGUUUUUUUAAGUGACCACAGUGGAUUGAGUCAUCACCCACUAUGAGAAUGUCCAGAAGAGAUUGACCAAGUUUGAAUUCAUGAAGAGGCUUUCACCAUGAUUAACAUUGACCACAACCAUUGCAAGAACAGCUAUAAUUUCUGAGCAUUUCCGGACACUUUCAAAGAACUGUUUCCAGGAAAGAAGAUCUCCCUGUUUUCAGAGCAUUACAGGAAGGCUAUAACAAAGGAGAUGGCUGAUGCAAUCAAAGCAAAAAAAAAGAUGUUAGGACUGUUGAAAGAACCCUUUUUCAUAAGUUAAAGAAUAAGUAAUUCUGUUUUAGUUUUUUAAUCAGUAUUUCAGAAUUACAAUAUGCUGACCAGAAGUUAAACUCUCUGUUUGAAGAACAGGUAAUAUUUUGUUUUAUUCCAAUAUACAAAGGGUUUGUUCUAUAGCUAUGUUGGUAGUUAUAAGUGGCUCAGUGUGCUCCACUUCACUUCAUUAAUGUUAAGACUUAACAUUAAUGACUGUUAGCAUAGCAUUUGACACUGUAAUAACACUGAAUGACAUCUUUAUAAUCGUUGCUACUAGUUUCACCUUAUUUGAGGCAAGUGUUAAUAGUAAUGACUCUGUAAUGACACUUAAUGACAUCUUCAUAACGUGUGCUACUUGUUCCACUUGAUGUAAAAGGAAUUAUUAAUGACUCUUAUUAAAUCAUUUGACAUUGUAAUAAAGCUUAAUGCAAUCUUUAA